AUAGCGUAUAUUAAAAUUGUUGCGUCUAAAAAGCUCGUAGUUUGAAAACUUGCCUUGGCUUACAACAGACCCUUAAGGGUCACCGUUUGUUAAGAGCAAAUAUGGAUGACUGUUUUUGCUGACUUAAUUGUUUGGCUUAUAAGAGUUAUCAAAUAUCACUUUGAUUAAAUUAGAGUGCUUAAAGCAAGUGUUUUACUUGAAUAUAAAUGCAUGGAAUGAUGGAAUAUGUUGUUGUUCUAUUUGUUGGUUUUUGAACGAUGAAAUGAUUGAAAGGAACUGUUGGGGGCAUUCGUAUUGUUGUGAGAGAGGUGAAAUUCUUAGACCACAGCAAGACGAACUACUG
rnacentral:rRNA from 1 species